AGAUAUUAGUCAAUGCUCGAAAGAGUGAACUAGCUAACUGAAAUCAAUUAAAUAAUUGAUAACAUAAGGGAAAAUAAUGAUAAUACCUUAUUAUAAGUGUCGUCCAAAACUGGUGCCAGAAGACUCGGUAAGGCCAGAGACACGAACGUUAAUCGUCUUAAUCAGGCGUAAAGGGUUUGUAGGCGGCUUUAAAAUUAAUUUAUUUAAAAUUAUUUUAUAAAUUAAAAAUAAAAGCUAGAAUCAAAUAGAGGAUAUAUCAAAGAAUGCUUAGAGUAGGUCUGAUAUCCUUAGAUACUAAGUAGAAUAUUAAAGGCGAAAGCUUUUUUCCAAUAAUGAUUGACGCUCAGAAACGAAGGUGAGGAUAAGAAAUAGGAUUAGAUACCCAAAAUACCCCUCUCUGUCAACGAUGAAUGGUAGUUAUUAGUAAAAAUUUUAUUAAUGGCAAUGUUAACACGAUAACCAUUCCGCCUUGUGAGUACAACUGCAAAGUUGAAAACAAAAAAAUUAGUCGGUUUCGGAGCAAACGAAGUGAAGCAUGUUAUUUAAUUC
rnacentral:rRNA from 1 species